UACGUAGGGUGCAAGCGUUGUCCGGAUUUAUUGGGCGUAAAGAGCUCGUAGGCGGUCUGUCGCGUCGGAUGUGAAAACCCAGGGCUCAACCCUGGGCCUGCAUUCGAUACGGGCAGACUAGAGUACGGCAGGGGAGACUGGAAUUCCUGGUGUAGCGGUGAAAUGCGCAGAUAUCAGGAGGAACACCGGUGGCGAAGGCGGGUCUCUGGGCCGUAACUGACGCUGAGAGACGAAAGCUAGGGGAGCGAAUGGG
rnacentral:rRNA from 1 species